rnacentral:lncRNA from 1 species
CUUCAGUGCUGGGGAUGGAACCUAGGGCCUCACACAUGCCAGGCAAGCACUCAGUCACUGAGCCACAUCCCCAUCCCUGGCAGAUAUGUUUUCAUAAGAUGAUUUACCAUGACUUAAAUUACUUUCUUUACGCUUCCCAGUUGGGUAAACAACUCAGAUGUAAUGAGCUUUUGUGUCACAGUCCUCUUUCUGUACUCUGCAACUUUGGUUCCCAUAAGUAUCAAUAUUUUUGAUGUUGCAUGCUCUUACAAUUAUGUUUUCUAAAAUAUUGUAUUGACUUUAGUUUAGUAAACUAUUUUGGCAAUUUAACCAGAAAUAGGGUAUAUAUAAACUCAAUUUUAUCUGCAUUAAAAAAUUGAAAUAAUCUAAUCGCAUGUAUGAUGUACCUCUGCCCCAUAACUCAGUUGCACAAAUAUAAUUAUCUAUGGGAGAGUGAAACUGUUGAUUCAUUAUUUAAAAUAAUAGAUUAGCAAAGAUUCGUUCUGAUUAGAGAUAUGGUCUAUAGCUAAAGAUACUUUUAUUUUAAAAAAUAACAGCACUUAUGAACACCAUUUGUAUCAUUGGAUAUGAAGAAUUUAUUAGUAUUUAAUAACAAUAUUAGUAUUGAAGUCUUCAGAUCACAAAUGAAGUAGUUGCAAAGUAGACCUGGUCUUUGACCACUUACGGUGUAACUGUUGUAUUUAAAACUGAUUUAGGCAGUUUUAUGUAUCAUGUACCAAUGGUAUGUAAAAUAAAGCACCU